UGAGGAAUUUUCCACAAUGGACGAAAGUCUGAUGGAGCGACGCCGUGUGGGUGAUGAAGUCCUUCGGGACGUAAAGCCCUGUCAGGGGGGACGAUAAUGACGGUACCCCAAGAGGAAGCCACGGCUAACUACGUGCCAGCAGCCGCGGUAAUACGUAGGUGGCGAGCGUUGUCCGGAAUCAUUGGGCGUAAAGCGCGUGUAGGUGGUUUUGCAAGUCAGAUGUUAAAAACUUCGGCUCAACCGAGGUUCGCGUCUGAAACUGCAAAACUAGAGAGGAUCAGAGGAAAGCGGAACUUCCGGUGUAGCGGUGAAAUGCGUAGAUAUCGGAAGGAACACCAGUGGCGAAGGCGGCUUUCUGGGAUUUUUCUGACACUGAGACGCGAAAGCCAGGGGAGAGAACGGG
rnacentral:rRNA from 1 species